GAUGAACGCUGGCGGCGUGCUUAACACAUGCAAGUCGAACGGGAAACCUUUUAUUGAAGCUUCUGCAGAUUUAGCUGGUUUCUAGUGGCGGACGGGUUAGUAACGCGUGGGUAACCUGCCUUAUACAGGGGGAUAACAACCAGAAAUGGUUGCUAAUACCGCAUAAGCGCACAGGACCGCAUGUUCCGGUGUGAAAAGCUCCGGUGGUAUAAGAUGGACCCGCGUUGGAUUAGCUAGGUGGCAGGGUAACGGCCUACCAAGGAGACGAUCCAUAGCCGGCCUGAGGAGGUGAACGGCCACAUUGGGACUGAGACACGGACCAGAAUGCUACGGGAGGGAGGAGUGGAGAAUAUUGCACAAUGGGGGCAAACCUGACGCAGCGGCGCCGCGUGAAGGAAGAAGUAGCUCGGUAUGUAAACUUCUAUCAGCAGGGAAGAUAGUGACGGUACCUGACUAAGAAGCCCCGGCUAACUACGUG
rnacentral:rRNA from 1 species